rnacentral:rRNA from 1 species
AUGACUCUCAUCAGUUGGAACUGUCGGGGGAUUGGGCAACCCCAAACAGUUCAAGAGCUAGUGGGCCUAGUGCACACACAUAAGUCUAAGCUAGUUUUUUUAUCUAAAACUCGGAAAAGUGAUGUGUAUGUGAAUAAUCUGAGGCGGAGGGUAGGCCUCCAGCAUUGCAUUGUGCAAUCCGGCACUGGAAAGAGUGCAGGUAUUGCACUAUUCUAA